AGUUUCCUCUCCUAACCUAACCUAGUAAGCUGGAGGACUCAAACAGAAAACGGGACAGUGUGUCACUUUCGUGAUUUCAUUUCAAAUUAAGUCCAUUUUUGGCCAUAGGCGCAUACCAGCGAAAAGCGCUGCUAUUUUAAAGAGAACAGGUUGAGUAUAUGCCCUAACCAACUUCGCCACAACAUGCUCAAAAGCAAUGCAACUUGGGGUUCAACUGAAUCCUCCAGGGCUCCUGAAGCUUCCACUGAAGCCCAAUCAGGGUUUCACACAUUGCCCGCAUGCACUCUGACCGUGGUAUAGAACUUCUACCUAUAACGCUUCUCUUCAAAUACACAAAAAAAUCACAUUAACAUAAUGUAUCAAUGAGAAAAUUAGUAGAAACAAAGGUAGGUGAGAAUCACAGCUUUUCAGUUUCCUGAUUGGCCCUCUGGCUGCUGGCUCAGGAAACAACCAAGGGUGACUCACUCAGAAAUAAUACAAAUUAGGGAAUAAUAAGAAAUAUUAUUAAUAUUAAUACUGUAUUAAUAAUAUUAAUAUUAUAGAAAUACUGUAAUAAGAAAUUAGUCACUUUCACCUGAACUGAUAAGGGUCCAGGACGGACCAAAAUGUCGUCACUUCUCCAUCUUCUGAGUUAUGGUUUGGUCAUCAAUAAAAAUUAGCAAUUCUUUGUCAAUCACACAGACAUUUAAUAUACUGUACAGUAUUUUUAAAUGUGGUGUGCUAUUUUCCUAAUUGGGAUAUAUUUGAAUACUGUAUUAGUGAAAAAUGUCUUUGUGCAUCCAAAAUAUUUAUUUUAUUAAGAUAAGUUCUAACAUUAAUGAAAAUGCCUUUGAAUGAUAGGCUAUGCUUCAAUGUAGGUAACAUACUGCUUUUGUAAAAUAAAUGGGUAAAAGUUUAUUUCACCAGCUCUUCACUGUACUGUAUGUCUCCUGAGAAAAGGGGAUUACUCCAGCAAGUCCUUAAAGUGAGUGGACAAGAGACAAGACCUUAUCUAUACUUUUGUCUCAAGCUGCCAAUUUUGGUAUGCCGCUCAAACAGCUGCCAGCUGAUAUUUAUUCACAACAGCCACAUGACGUUAUUUUUUAUUAAUUUACUAACGUCUGCCAGAGCUGCAAUCUGUUCUAGGCACAUUCAGUACACUCUUAUAUUACAGUGCAGCAAAAUAAGAACAAGUACUGUAGUUUUGAUCAUUAAGUACUGUAUAUUGUUUUGAACAAUUGUGCAAAUAAAUUUACAUUGAAAUAUGCUCAUAUCUGUGAGCAUAUUGAUAUUUCACUGUAGUCUCUUCAAAAGGAUGGUGAAGCUUAGGCCUAUAGAUAAGCAGUAUAAAAUCCUAAUGUUCCAUCAAAUUUUAAUGUUCAGAAAACAAAUUUAAUUGGAUAUCAUCCACUUAUUUCCAGCACACAUCACGGGCAAACUAUUUAACGUGUGAAAAAUAUCAAUAAUAUAUUCCAAUAAAAAAAGGUGAAACACAGACUUGCACCAACUAAUCAAUGCAGUGAUGCCCUCAUAGUACCUGUCUCGGUAAGCGUGGUCUCCAUCUUGUACAUAUCACACAUUGAUCUGUUGCGGCUACAUUUAGGAAUCGACAUGAGUUACAAGGCCAUUUGCAACCAUUAUUUAAAGAUUCACUCUUCUUUGAAGGUUGUCGUCUUGUUCCUGGAUCUUGAACGGUCUCGUUUCCUUGGGAAUUACUAUGUUGAAGGAUCUUUUUUGACGAGAUGAUAGAAUGUGUGUCGGACGUAAUGAUCUCGUUUGCUAAUUUUGAUCCUUUGUCACUAGAGGCCAGGGUGUGCGAUUCUUCUUGUUUCUUGACACUCCUGCCUCUUGCCAUUCCAAACCAUAGCCUGAAGUGUGAAAACAAUUAUGUUAAAUGUAUGCUUGUAACUGAU